GCUAGUGUGGUGUAGUGGUUUGAGUGCGGGAUUAUGAGUCCGGGGACCAGGGUUCAAUUCCCAGCUCAGCC